CUCUGAGCAACCUGAUCUAGUUGAAGAUGUCCCUGUUCAGUGCAGGGGGUUGGACUGGAUGAUGUUUGAAGGUCCCUUCCAACACAAACUAUCUUAUUCCGUGAUAACCGCUCCGCCCGUAGCCGCCCGCUGGCCCCGCCCCCGCGCGGCGGACCGUUGAAAAGAAGCGGGAGGGGCUCGCGCACGCCAGCCCCCGGCCCUAGCGGCUGCUGGUCUCGCGCGCCAGCGAGCCCGGGUGACGGCGGCGCUGCCCGCACGGGGGCGCCCUACGGACAGGCAGAGCCGGGCAGAGCCGCCGCUCGGAAGUCUCCGGGGCCCGAGGAGGCCGGAGCCGGGCGGAGGAGUUCCCUCAGGGCAGCGGCCAAGCUACAGUAUGUACUGCUGUUGACAGAGCUCUGGCUAGGGCUGGGCCCAGCCCUAUUCAUCGGUAUGUUGGUUCAUUCCAAGUGUCUGCAUCUGUGAAACAAACACUAACUGGCCUUUGACUGGAAUUUUCUAUCCUGUUCUGAUACAGUCUUUAACAAACUCUCUGAUGCCUUUCAAGAGCUUUUUUAAAUAGAGCUUGUGCUAAUUAACUUAGCCUCACAUGUUAAGGCCAUACUUACCUACUUCAGGCUUUUAGAAUUUAAAAACAGGCCAGAAACUUUUCGGGUUUUUAAAGUCUAUUUGUUAGAACUGGCAGAAUAGAACUGCCCUUUCAGAGUACCAAAAUAAUUAUUAAAUUAACAGUAAUUGUUUCUCUUCCUUGCUGGGAACUUCACAUUCCUAGUAGCUUCCAGGUCUGGAAGAGCAGAGCUGACUCGUGGUAGUUUGGCCCUGAUGCUACUUUGAAGAAAAGUUUUAAAUUAUCAGAGACACUGUGAGCUGCCUGGUUUCCAGGACAGCCCAUCUUCCAAGCACUUUAUCCUGAUUUUUUCCUCUGGUGUUUUCACUUGAGAGAGAACUUCCUUCAUGGUCUGAGCUUCAGUCUUGUUCAUUCUGCUUUUGAAAACACAGUCCACCCUUGCUUCCAAGCUUCUGACCUUACUUCUCCCUAUGAUAUUUAAGUUGUCCUUCUAGCUGGCUGCAACAUUUUCCAUCUCAUCUAGGUUUUUAUAUAAGACUUUACAUGGGCUUUGGCAAAAAAACAUGUUUUCUUUUAUUUUCACCUCAGCAUAAGAUGUCUGUCCUUGCUUUUAUUCUGUGAUGUCUGUGGAUGCUUCUGGCCCAUCGUCCCCACACUGCUUCCCCGCUCUCCUUUUCAAUAAUUUUGUAAGUGUUUUCAAUACAUGUAAAGAAUGAUCACACCAUAAAAGCUGGCAAGGAGAAGCCUCAGGGAGAAGGCAGCAAAACCUGUGGUGUAUGCAUACUACCAUGCACAGAAGUUUCUUUAGAAAUAAGCAGCUCAUGUCCAUAUUUUAUUUCAACUAAAUUCUGUAAAUUACAGUUAGGACUUCUUUUCAAGGCAGCUCUUUUGCUUUCUUUAACUAGGCAGAACAGCAUGAAGUAGUUCUCCAAAAUAACCUUUGACUAAAGGGAAGGAAGAUAGGGCACUCACAAGCAGGAAUUCUUUAGGCCUAGGGCAUUUUCCUUUUAAAUGUGGGGGGGGAAGGAUACGCUUCCUACUCUCUUAGGAAACUGAAAACUCUGCCAAAUGGAUCUCAAUAGUUCAGGUUGUUUCACCUGUGGAAUUUAAGUAAUAUUUAGUUGAUGCUCAAGAGGAAACUCCUCAAAAGCAAGAACUGAGAAUAUUCUAAAGGCAGCAGAAGUUAUUUGCAUUAACACAAGAUAAUAGUUCACUUUUUUUUUUGGGAAAAAAAAAGGUCUAAAUAUUUGUGUGCUGCCUUAACCUGUUCAAAGGGAAAUGUUUUUUCAGCAGAAAUUGUUUCCUGUCCUUACAAAUGCUUAAACCACAGAGAACUAUUAGUAUCUCAGAAUUAAUUUCUGCUUCUCUCCUCCAAGGAAUCAAUUCUAAUAUAAACAGUUGCCGGGAAAAAAGAGGUGGCACAUCACUUUAAGCAGCUUCUUUCACCUUGAAGUUCCUGCUAGUUAUCUUCCCAAGUUCUAUUUACAGAGAAACAGGCCCUGGCAUGUCAGCAGCUUAACUCCUUAUUCUUCAUUUUGCAUUUAGAGACUUGUUUGCCAAGUUACUCAGAAGGAAAUUGCAUACAAAUCCAAGUUGAACAUUUCAUGACCUUGCAUGGUUCUAGAAAUACCCAAAUUUUAAGAACAAAGGUGUUUCCAGCAAGUUCCUAUUUCAGAGAUCUAUUUCUUCAGCUUCUGCUGGUGGCAGGAAGAAAACAGCAAGCUUAUAGUUGUAGAGAUUUUGUUUACAUAAUGUGAACAGGAAAAGUGGCCACAUUUACUUAACCCUCACAUUUUGUUGCAUACAAUAUUCUUUGUAACAUAAAGGGUUUAACUAUAGAGUUCUUACUCUUUUAAAGGAUGGAUUCUGAUAAAAAUAUGCUGCUGUAAAUUUUACGAAGUGCCACCAUGUCCUAAGUAAAUUCACGGUGCUAGUGCUAAUGCUUUUUUGUAAUUGAAAGGUUCAUUUUUAUUUCACUUUAGCUCAGAUGGAUAGAUGUAGUCUCUGGGAUUUGCCUUACUGUUAAUGAAUGGAAAGAGCGACUUUAAAGGCACAGAUAAAUCACUUCUAAAAAUGGUAACAUUCUUGUUCAGACCUAUACAUGAACAGUGUUACAAAGGUGGGUGUAGCAUAAACAGCAGCAUCUGCUACUAUGCCUGAUACCUGGAACCUUGGGCAGUGUAGAUACAUUUCCAGCAUUUUGGUAUCCAGCUUUCAAGUGGGUGGUACUGUGUAAUCCUGAAAGUAAUUUCUAAUUUUCCACUGCUAUGUAAACCCACACUGCUGAGAAGCCAGGUUUCAUCUGCAGUGAAGUUUCUGUUCAUAUAGGCCCUAUGUGCAGUAAAUUCUGGCCUGAAAACUAACUCUGCCAAGCGGACCCAUGCAUGCUCAAGUGCAGAAAAGACCAGGAGAACAGAAUUACAGCAGACAGCUCUUGAAAAAAGCAGUAUUUAUUUUAAAGUACAACCCAAAGUUGUAUCCUGUAAGAAAUGCACAAGGUAUCUUGUUUCUUCCACAAGUGUUGGCUGUGUGCAUUUCAGUUCAACUUAAAAAUGCAUUCAGGUUUACAAAUGUACAAACAGCACAGAAAGUGUAUUACAGUCUCAACAGAAUGCUCUUACAUUCAGCCAUUUGCUCUUAAGGUUUUGUGUUGGUUUUGUUGGGUUUUUUUGUAGAUUUUUAUUUUUUUUUUUACAUUCUUAGAA